GACGAACGCUGGCGGCGUGCUUAACACAUGCAAGUCGAACGAACCUUCGGGUUAGUGGCGGACGGGUGAGUAACGCGUGGGAAUCUGCCCUCAGGAGGGGGAUAACGGCUGGAAACGGCCGCUAAUACCCCAUAUGCCGAGAGGUGAAAUGAAUUUCGCCUGAGGAUGAGCCCGCGUCUGAUUAGCUAGUUGGUGGGGUAAAGGCCCACCAAGGCGACGAUCAGUAGCUGGUCUGAGAGGAUGAUCAGCCACACUGGGACUGAGACACGGCCCAGACUCCUACGGGAGGCAGCAGUGGGGAAUUUUCCGCAAUGGGCGAAAGCCUGACGGAGCAACGCCGCGUGAGGGAUGAAGGCCUCUGGGCUGUAAACCUCUUUUCUCAAGGAAGAAGACAUGACGGUACUUGAGGAAUAAGCCACGGCUAAUUCCGUGCCAGCCGCCGC
rnacentral:rRNA from 1 species